AGCAGCCGCGGUAAUUCCAGCUCCAAUAGCGUAUAUUAAAGUUGUUGCAGUUAAAAGCUCGUAGUUGAAUUUCGGGGUUAGUAGGUUGGUCAUGCCUCUGGUAUGUACUGGUCUCACUGAUUCCUCCUUCCUGAUGAGCCGUAAUGCCAUUAAUUUGGUGUUGCGGGGAAUUUGGACUGUUACUUUGAAAAAUUAGAGUGUUUAAAGCAAGCUAACGCUUGAAUACAUUAGCAUGGAAUAAUGAAAUAGGACGUUCGAUCCUAUUUUGUUGGUUUCUAGGAUUGACGUAAUGAUUAAUAGGGAUAGUUGGGGGCAUUAGUAUUCAAUUGUCAGAGGUGAAAUUCUUGGAUUUAUUGAAGACUAACUACUGCGAAAGCAUUUGCCAAGGAUGUUUUCAUUAAUCAAGAACGAAAGUUAGGGGAUCGAAGACGAUCAGAUACCGUCGUAGCCUUAACCAUAAACUAUGCCGACUAGGGAUCGGAUGAUGUUAAUUUUUUAAUUGUACUCAUUCGGCGUCCCG
rnacentral:misc_RNA from 1 species